AUAAAUAAAUUUUUAUGGUUUGAAAAUUUUUUUUAAAAUUUAUUUUACAUAUAAAUUUUAGUGUAUAUUUUAAAAUAUUUAAAUAAUUAUUUAAUUAAAAAUUAAUAGUAAUUAAUAUUAAAAAUUUAAGAAAUUAAGAUUUAGUAAUAUAAAAAUUAAUAACUUAUUUUGUGCCAGCAGUUGCGGUUAUACAAAAAUUAAAUUAAAUUUUAUUAGUGAUAAUAAAUAUAAAUUUAAUUAAUUAAAAUAUUAAAUUAUUAAGUGAAAUUUUAAUUUAAUUAAAAAUUAUUAAAAUAUUAUGAUUUAAUAAAUUUUAUUAUAAACUAGGAUUAGAUACCCUAUUAUUAAAAAUUUAAAUUAAAAAUACUAAAAUAGUAUAUAAUUAUAUAUAAAAACUUAAAUAAUUUGGCGGUAUUUUAGUUCAUUUAGAGGAAUCUGUUUAUUAAUUGAUAAUCCACGAAUAAUUUUACUUAAUUUUUAAUUUUGUAUAUCGUUGUUAAAAAAAUAUUUUUUAAAAAUUUUAAUAUUUAAAAAUUUAAAAUAUAAAUUAAAUCAGAUCAAGAUGCAGAUUAUAAUUAAGAAUAUAAUGGAUUACAAUAAAUUUAUUUAAAUGAAUAUUAAAUUGAAAAUUUUAAUUAAAAGUGGAUUUAAAUGUAAUUUUAUUUAAUUUAAUAAAAUGAUUAAAAAUUAAAAUAUGUACAUAUUGCCCGUCGCUUUCAUUUAUAAAUUGAAAUAAGUCGUAACAAAGUAGAGGUACUGGAAAGUGUUUCUAGAAAGA
rnacentral:ncRNA from 1 species